AUUGAACGCUGGCGGCAUGCCUAACACAUGCAAGUCGAACGAGUGGCAGACGGGUGAGUAAUGUCUGGGAAACUGCCUGAUGGAGGGGGAUAACUCCUGGAAACGGUAGCUAAUACUGCAUACCAUCCAAUGUGCCCAGAUGGGAUUCGCGUGUUGGUGGGGUACCGGCUCACCAAGGAGACGAUCCCUAGCUGGUCUGAGAGGAUGACCGGCCACACUGGAACUGAGACACGGUCCAGACUCCUACGGGAGGCAGCAGUUGGGAAUAUGGCACAAUGGGCGAAAGCCUGAUGCAGUCAUGCCGCGGGUAUGAAGAAGGCCUUCGGGUUGUAAAGUACUUUCAUCGGGGAGGCGUUACCCGCAGAGGAAGCACCGGCUAACUCCGUGCCAGCAGCCGCGGUAAUAC
rnacentral:rRNA from 1 species